UUUUUAAGAUCUGAGGGGGAAAAACCCACAUAUGUGUUGCCAGAGUUAGUUCUUUCCCUAGAUCUGGUUUUAUAAAUUCUAGUAAUAAAC
ensembl:snoRNA Gm23758 predicted gene, 23758